GGCUUCGUGGCCCAAUGGCAAGGCGUCUGACUACGAGAAGAUUCAGCAAUGAACCCUUCACGGUAAUCAGGAGAUUCUGGGUUCGACCCCCAGCGAGGUCA